rnacentral:rRNA from 1 species
GGGUUGUGAGGUUAAGCGACUAAGCGUACACGGUGGAUGCCCUGGCAGUCAGAGGCGAUGAAGGACGUGCUAAUCUGCGAUAAGCGUCGGUAAGGUGAUAUGAACCGUUAUAACCGGCGAUUUCCGAAUGGGGAAACCCAGUGUGUUUCGACACACUAUCAUUAACUGAAUCCAUAGGUUAAUGAGGCGAACCGGGGGAACUGAAACAUCUAAGUACCCCGAGGAAAAGAAAUCAACCGAGAUUCCCCCAGUAGCGGCGAGCGAACGGGGAGCAGCCCAGAGCCUGAAUCAGUAUGUGUGUUAGUGGAAGCGUCUGGAAAGGCGCGCGAUACAGGGUGACAGCCCCGUACACAAAAAUGCACAUGCUGUGAGCUCGAUGAGUAGGGCGGGACACGUGGUAUCCUGUCUGAAUAUGGGGGGACCAUCCUCCAAGGCUAAAUACUCCUGACUGACCGAUAGUGAACCAGUACCGUGAGGGAAAGGCGAAAAGAACCCCGGCGAGGGGAGUGAAAAAGAACCUGAAACCGUGUACGUACAAGCAGUGGGAGCACGCUUAGGCGUGUGACUGCGUACCUUUUGUAUAAUGGGUCAGCGACUUAUAUUCUGUAGCAAGGUUAACCGAAUAGGGGAGCCGAAGGGAAACCGAGUCUUAACUGGGCGUUAAGUUGCAGGGUAUAGACCCGAAACCCGGUGAUCUAGCCAUGGGCAGGUUGAAGGUUGGGUAACACUAACUGGAGGACCGAACCGACUAAUGUUGAAAAAUUAGCGGAUGACUUGUGGCUGGGGGUGAAAGGCCAAUCAAACCGGGAGAUAGCUGGUUCUCCCCGAAAGCUAUUUAGGUAGCGCCUCGUGAAUUCAUCUCCGGGGGUAGAGCACUGUUUCGGCAAGGGGGUCAUCCCGACUUACCAACCCGAUGCAAACUGCGAAUACCGGAGAAUGUUAUCACGGGAGACACACGGCGGGUGCUAACGUCCGUCGUGAAGAGGGAAACAACCCAGACCGCCAGCUAAGGUCCCAAAGUCAUGGUUAAGUGGGAAACGAUGUGGGAAGGCCCAGACAGCCAGGAUGUUGGCUUAGAAGCAGCCAUCAUUUAAAGAAAGCGUAAUAGCUCACUGGUCGAGUCGGCCUGCGCGGAAGAUGUAACGGGGCUAAACCAUGCACCGAAGCUGCGGCAGCGACGCUUAUGCGUUGUUGGGUAGGGGAGCGUUCUGUAAGCCUGUGAAGGUGUGCUGUGAGGCAUGCUGGAGGUAUCAGAAGUGCGAAUGCUGACAUAAGUAACGAUAAAGCGGGUGAAAAGCCCGCUCGCCGGAAGACCAAGGGUUCCUGUCCAACGUUAAUCGGGGCAGGGUGAGUCGACCCCUAAGGCGAGGCCGAAAGGCGUAGUCGAUGGGAAACAGGUUAAUAUUCCUGUACUUGGUGUUACUGCGAAGGGGGGACGGAGAAGGCUAUGUUGGCCGGGCGACGGUUGUCCCGGUUUAAGCGUGUAGGCUGGUUUUCCAGGCAAAUCCGGAAAAUCAAGGCUGAGGCGUGAUGACGAGGCACUACGGUGCUGAAGCAACAAAUGCCCUGCUUCCAGGAAAAGCCUCUAAGCAUCAGGUAACAUCAAAUCGUACCCCAAACCGACACAGGUGGUCAGGUAGAGAAUACCAAGGCGCUUGAGAGAACUCGGGUGAAGGAACUAGGCAAAAUGGUGCCGUAACUUCGGGAGAAGGCACGCUGAUAUGUAGGUGAAGUCCCUCGCGGAUGGAGCUGAAAUCAGUCGAAGAUACCAGCUGGCUGCAACUGUUUAUUAAAAACACAGCACUGUGCAAACACGAAAGUGGACGUAUACGGUGUGACGCCUGCCCGGUGCCGGAAGGUUAAUUGAUGGGGUUAGCGCAAGCGAAGCUCUUGAUCGAAGCCCCGGUAAACGGCGGCCGUAACUAUAACGGUCCUAAGGUAGCGAAAUUCCUUGUCGGGUAAGUUCCGACCUGCACGAAUGGCGUAAUGAUGGCCAGGCUGUCUCCACCCGAGACUCAGUGAAAUUGAACUCGCUGUGAAGAUGCAGUGUACCCGCGGCAAGACGGAAAGACCCCGUGAACCUUUACUAUAGCUUGACACUGAACAUUGAGCCUUGAUGUGUAGGAUAGGUGGGAGGCUUUGAAGUGUGGACGCCAGUCUGCAUGGAGCCGACCUUGAAAUACCACCCUUUAAUGUUUGAUGUUCUAACGUUGACCCGUAAUCCGGGUUGCGGACAGUGUCUGGUGGGUAGUUUGACUGGGGCGGUCUCCUCCUAAAGAGUAACGGAGGAGCACGAAGGUUGGCUAAUCCUGGUCGGACAUCAGGAGGUUAGUGCAAUGGCAUAAGCCAGCUUGACUGCGAGCGUGACGGCGCGAGCAGGUGCGAAAGCAGGUCAUAGUGAUCCGGUGGUUCUGAAUGGAAGGGCCAUCGCUCAACGGAUAAAAGGUACUCCGGGGAUAACAGGCUGAUACCGCCCAAGAGUUCAUAUCGACGGCGGUGUUUGGCACCUCGAUGUCGGCUCAUCACAUCCUGGGGCUGAAGUAGGUCCCAAGGGUAUGGCUGUUCGCCAUUUAAAGUGGUACGCGAGCUGGGUUUAGAACGUCGUGAGACAGUUCGGUCCCUAUCUGCCGUGGGCGCUGGAGAACUGAGGGGGGCUGCUCCUAGUACGAGAGGACCGGAGUGGACGCAUCACUGGUGUUCGGGUUGUCAUGCCAAUGGCACUGCCCGGUAGCUAAAUGCGGAAGAGAUAAGUGCUGAAAGCAUCUAAGCACGAAACUUGCCCCGAGAUGAGUUCUCCCUGACUCCUUGAGAGUCCUGAAGGAACGUUGAAGACGACGACGUUGAUAGGCCGGGUGUGUAAGCGCAGCGAUGCGUUGAGCUAACCGGUACUAAUGAACCGUGAGGCUUAACCUUACAACGCCGAAGGUGUUU